AGCCCUUGACAUGUCCUCUAUGGAUUCCGGAGACGGAGUCCUUCACUUCGGGUGGGAGGAACACAGGUGCUGCAUGGCUGUCGUCAGCUCGUGUCGUGAGAUGUUGGGUUAAGUCCCGCAACGAGCGCAACCCUCGCCCUUAGUUGCCAUCAUUUAGUUGGGCACUCUAAGGGGACUGCCGGUGAUAAGCCGGAGGAAGGUGGGGAUGACGUCAAGUCCUCAUGGCCCUUACGGGCUGGG
rnacentral:rRNA from 1 species